UACAGAGGGGGCAAGCGUUGUUCGGAAUUAUUGGGCGUAAAGGGCGCGUAGGCGGUGCGGUAAGUCACUUGUGAAAUCUCUGGGCUCAACUCAGAGUCUGCAAGCGAAACUGCCGUGCUUGAGUGUCGGAGAGGUAAGUGGAAUUCCCGGUGUAGCGGUGAAAUGCGUAGGAUAUCGGGAAGAACACCCGUGGCGAAGGCGGCUCUCUGGGACGGUACUGACGCUGAGACGCGAAAGCGUGGGGAGCGAACAGGAUUAGGAUAC
rnacentral:rRNA from 1 species